GAUGAAGAACUUAGCGAAAUGCGAUAAGUAAUGUGAAUUGCAGAAUUCAGUGAAUCAUCGAAUCUUUGAACGCACAUUGCGCCCGUCAGUAUUCUGGCGGGCAUGCCUGUUCGAGCGUCAUUACGCCCCUCAAGUCCCCUGUGGACUUGGUGUUGGGGAUCGGCGAGGCUGGUUUUCCAGCACAGCCGUCCCUUAAAUUAAUUGGCGGUCUCGCCGUGGCCCUCCUCUGCGCAGUAGUAAAACACUCGCAACAGGAGCCCGGCGCGGUCCACUGCCGUAAAACCCCCCAACUUUUUAUAGUUGACCUCCAAUCAGGUAGGACUACCCGCUGAACUUAAGCAUAUCAAUAAGCGGAGGA
rnacentral:misc_RNA from 1 species